GGCCUGCGGAGGGAUCAUUACAAGAAGCCGAAAGGCUACUUCAAACCAUCGCGAACUCGUCCAAGUUGCUUCGGCGGCGCGGCAUCCCGUCACCGGGGCGCCGCAGCCCGGCCUCUCCGGAGGUGCGGGGCGCCCGCCGGAGGUACGAAACUCUGUAUUAUAGUGGCAUCUCUGAGUAAAAAGCAAAUAAGUUAAAACUUUCAACAACGGAUCUCUUGGUUCUGGCAUCGAUGAAGAACGCAGCGAAAUGCGAUAAGUAAUGUGAAUUGCAGAAUUCAGUGAAUCAUCGAAUCUUUGAACGCACAUUGCGCCCGGUAGUACUCUACCGGGCAUGCCUGUUCGAGCGUCAUUUCAACCCUCAAGCCCUGCUUGGUGUUGGGGCCCUACGGCUGCCGUAGGCCCUGAAAGGAAGUGGCGGGCUCGCUACAACUCCGAGCGUAGUAAUUCAUUAUCUCGCUAGGGAGGUGCGGCGUGCUCCUGCCGUUAAAGACCCCAUCUUUAACCAAGGUUGACCUCGGAUCAGGUAGGAAUACCCGCUGAACUUAAGCAUAUCAAAAACCCGAAGAAA
rnacentral:rRNA from 1 species